UUACUAGGGGAAGGAUGGCCCUGCGCAUGCCCACUCAGAACCCAGGACUUAGCCACGUCAGUUGGGUCUGGUCCGCAGUGCAGUGCUGGAGCUGGUCCGGGCUAGCCGCUUCUACUGGGUGCUCCGUAACUGGCGCCAUUCCUGGGCCUUCAGGCCUCAGACCUCCAAAUUAAAUUCACAGAAAAAAAUGCCCUCAAGAUGCUACCUGUUGAUGCCCAUCGGGGGCGGAGAAGGGCCCUAGAUGAUAUGAAAGGCGAUUCUCUGUAGAUGGUGGGCGGAUGGCAGUGGAUGGCGCUCGGAUGGCCCUCCGGCCUGCCGCGGUGCUACAAGCCUGUGGAUGCUGCAGAAGCCCACGCGCCGGGAACGUAGAAGCGGCGAACCUUUGGGUGCUGCGGCGGAGGCUUUAAGAUACCUCAGCGAGAACCAUCCAGUCGCAGCGGCGAACCGCAGUGGACGCCCCGCAGAAGCAGUGGCUACCAGGCUCCCCCAUUCCCGCCACCUUUUUAAGAGGUGCCGCAGGAACUGCUGUGGCUCAGAGAGGGACCUGGACCACCUUGGAGGAACCUGGAGAUAGAGAGGUAUACCCUUAGCAUCUUGAUGAAUCUCCAUUGGAAGCCUUUCAGGAGGACAUAAUGAGUCACAAUGAGAAGAGAAAUGUUCUCUUGGUGAGAAACAUGAAUGAGAUCCCAGAGGCACUGAGAAGCUGAGGCCAUUGAAGGUAAAUACUGCACAUGAACUAUGGCGAGAACCAUCCCGUUGCUGUCCAGAAGUUGAGAGCACUGUACCUGGAGACUCAAGUAAUGCCAUUGCCAGGAAACUCAAGUAGUCUUUUCUGUAUCUUACCUUCUACUUGGUUUCAGAAAACAAGUUUUCUAAAGGGAUCCAGGAAACCCUUAUCUCCCACCAGGGAGCAGAACCUCAACCCUAAGAUUCCCACUGGGAGCUAAGGCACCCAAGUCUUCCAAAGGGAAUCAAGGGACCCAAGAUGAACCAAGCCUCCCACCAGGAGCCAGGAACCAAGCCUUGCUCCUUCUAACAGAACCCAGGCCUUCCAUCAGGUUCUAGUACUCAGCACCCAGGCUUUCCAACAGGUUCUAGCACCCAAGCCUUCCAACUGGCUGUAGCAUCCAGCACCCAGGCCUUCUAAUAGAAUCUAGAACCCAGCACCCAGGCCUUCUGACAGGAUCUAGAACCCAGAACCCAGGCCUUCUGACAGGAUCUAGAACCCAGCACCCAGGCAUUCUAACAGGAUUUAGCACCCAGGCCUUAGGCCUUCCAUCAGGAUCUAGCAACCAGGACCCAGGGCUUCUUUCAGAAUAUAGGACCCAGGACCCAGAAGACAAGGCCUUUGACCAGCACCCAAAAAUCAAGGCCUUUGACCAGGACCCAGAAGCCAAGGCCUUUGACCAGGAUCUAGGACCCAGGACCAGAAGCCAAGGACUUUGACCAGGAUCUAGGACCCAGGACCAGAAGCCAAGGCCUUUGACCAGGAUCUAGGACCCAGGACCCAGAAGGCAACACCUUUGGCCAGGAUCUAGGACCCAGAUGCCAGAAGCCAAGUCCUUUGACCAGGACCUAGGACCCAGGACCAGAAGCCAAGGCCUUUGACCAGGAUCUAGGACCCAGGACCCAGAAGCCAAGGCCUUCCAGCAGGAGUCAGGCCCCAGAAGCCAAGGCCUUUGACCAGGAUCUAGGACCCAGGACCCAGAAGGCAACGCCUUUGGCCAGGAUCUAGGACCCAGGACCAGAAGCCAAGGCCUUUGACCAGGACCCAGGACCCAGAAGCCAAGGCCUUUGACCAGAUCCCAGAAGCCAAGGCCUUUGACCAGGACCCAGAAGCCAAGGCCUUUGACCAGGACCCAGGACCCAGAAGCCAAGGCCUUUGACCAGGACCCAGAAGCCAAGGCCUUUGACCAGGAUCUAGGACCCAGGACCCAGAAGCCAAGGCCUUUGACCAGGACCCAGAAGCCAAGGCCUUUGACCAGGAUCUAGGACCCAGGACCAGAAGCCAAGGACUUUGACCAGGAUCUAGGACCCAGGACCAGAAGCCAAGGCCUUUGACCAGGAUCUAGGACCCAGGACCCAGAAGGCAACACCUUUGGCCAGGAUCUAGGACCCAGAUGCCAGAAGCCAAGUCCUUUGACCAGGAUCUAGGACCCAGAUGCCAGAAGCCAAGUCCUUUGACCAGGACCUAGGACCCAGGACCAGAAGCCAAGGCCUUUGACCAGGAUCUAGAACCCAGGACCAGAAGCCAAGGCCUUUGACCAGGACCCAGAAGCCAAGGCCUUUGAUCAGGAUCUAGGACCCAGGACCCAGAAGGCAACACCUUUGGCCAGGAUCUAGGACCCAGGCCCCAGAAGCCAAGGCCUUCCAGCAGGAGUCAGGCCCCAGAAGCCAAGGCCUUUGACCAGGAUCUAGGACCCAGGACCAGAAGCCAAGGCCUUUGACCAGGACCCAGAAGCCAAGGCCUUUGACCAGGACCCAGAAGCCAAGGC